rnacentral:rRNA from 1 species
GACAGAGGGUGCAAACGUUGUUCGGAAUUACUGGGCGUAAAGCGCGUGUAGGCGGCUAAGUAAGUCGGGCGUGAAAUCCCACGGCUCAACCGUGGAAGUGCACUCGAAACUGCAUAGCUAGAGUCCUGGAGAGGAAGGUGGAAUGCUUGGUGUAGAGGUGAAAUUCGUAGAUAUCAAGCGGAACACCGGUGGCGAAGGCGGCCUUCUGGACAGUGACUGACGCUGAGACGCGAAAGCGUGGGGAGCGAUCCGG